rnacentral:rRNA from 1 species
CCUACGGGAGGCAGCAGUGGGGAAUAUUGCGCAAUGGGCGCAACCCUGACCCAGCAACGCCGCGUGAAGGAAGAAGGCUUUCGGGUUGUAAACUUCUUUUGACAGGGAAGAGUAGAAGACGGUACCUGUCGAAUAAGCCACGGCUAACUACGUGCCAGCAGCCGCGGAAAUACGUAGGUGGCAAGCGUUGUCCGGAUUUACUGGGUGUAAAGGGCGUGUAGCCGGGUUGACAAGUCAGAUGUGAAAUCCUGCGGCUUAACCGCAGAACUGCAUUUGAAACUGUUGAUCUUGAGUACUGGAGAGGCAGACGGAAUUCUUAGUGUAGCGGUGAAAUGCGUAGAUAUUAGGAGGAACACCAGUGGCGAAGGCGGCCUGCUGGACUGCAACUGACGGUGAGGCGCGAAAGCGUGGGGAGCAAACAGGAUUAGAUACCCUUGUAGUC